UAGGUUGUGAGACGCAGGCAAUGCAUUUGUUAUGACGCGCUGUGUGGUUGUUUAAGGGGAGAAUUACUAUUCUUCAUAUCGUAGGACAAGACUCGUUUAUAUAUGACAAUUCAUUAUUUUAACUUAUUAUUAUUUGUUUUUAGUUCAUUAAUUUUUUUGGGGAAAAUACACAACACAGCAACCAGAUUCUGACACAUUGCUUUAACUAUAUUUUUUUUACGACAAUUCUCAUCAGGCGGAACUGGAAGUAUUUACAGAUAACGGAUGAUUCGUCUGCUGUGUUCGCACUUAAUUUAAAAUUUUACAGAUAUAUAUAUAUAUAUAUAUAUAUAUAUAUAUAUAUAUAUAUAUAUUCAAAGACAUUACGUUUAAGCUUAUAUAUGUUUUAUCUCAAUUAGCUUUUCAUGGUUUUAUGCUGUUAUUAUUAUUUAUUUUGUCCGGGGUGUAACUUACAGUGAUCUACAGUGAAGGCUAUUUACAACAAAUUGUAUGAAAUGUAGCUGCAAGCAUCACAUCUGUAUCAGGACAUAUCUCUUGAGUCUUGAAUUCAAAGCCUUUUCAGAAAAGGAAAGAAGCACAUUGAGAUUAGGAAUCUCUUUUACAAGAGCACUCUGGCCAAGACUGACAGACACAGCACGUUUGAGUAUAACAAAUAACAUCCAACAAUACAUACACAUAUACUCACACAAGCACAUCCAUUCAAUUACAAUAUCAAUACAUAACUAGCUAAAACAUCUACAACCCUAUGAUUCAUUCUCCAAAUCAUUUGAAACUACUUUAAAAGUGUCCAACGAAACCACUUCCCUCAGUUUCAAUGUACUUUGCAAACAAUUCCAGGCAGAGGGGGCAGCAUAUUUAAAUGUCUUUUUCCCCAAUUCAGUACGUGCCACUGGAGCACACAGUAAAAAUAUAUCCUGUGACCGGAGGCUAUAGCUACAAGCAUACUUUUUAAAUAUGUAUGUACACAGAUAGGAAUGAAGUAAACCCAGGAUAGAUUUAUAAAUCAAAAUAUGCCAGUGUUUUUGUCUUCGGAUGGACAACGCUGACCAGCCAACCCAAGCAGACAACACACAAUGAUGAGUGAGGGUUUUAAGAUUUGUUAUGAACCUCAGUGCACCAUGAUAAACAGUGUCUAAAGCUGUGAAGAUGCAUGCAUAUAUAUAUUGGAGUCAGUAUAAAAAACAGAAAAAAGAAAUUAAGAUUUAUUCAGCAAAGGAAUUGAUCAAAGACUAUUUCUUAUUUUACAGAAGAUUUAUAUUGCAAAUAAAUGGUGUUUUUAAGCAUUCUAUUAAUCAGAAAAUCCAGAUAAAAAUGUUUUUAUAGUUUCUUUUAAUAUAUUAAGCCAUUUCCAACAUAAGAUAAUAAUAAGAUAUGUUUCUUGAGCAUCAAAUGAAGGUGAAGACUGGAGUAAUGAUGCUGAAAAUACAGCUUUACCAGCACAGAAAUAUAAAUUACAUUUUAAAAUAUAUUAAAGUCAAGUGUGCCAUUUUUUUUUUUUUUUGACAAUUUGUCAGUCGCUUGGUUUCUAUUUAUGUCGUUUUGUGCUGCAAAAUCUAGGCCAAAUAUUAAACAUCAAGUAUGUCCCAAUUGGCUUUGAUUGUGAUCCACUGAGCUACAUUUUGUGGAGGAAGAAAACAACAGUUAGGGAUUGUUUUACAUGAGUUACAAGAUAUGUAAAUAUAUCAAUGGCAAUAAUUUCUUACAUUUUAUCCUUUUUUUUUUUUUUUUUUUUGCUAAUAGUUUUCAUUUCCUGACACUUUUUUAGCUGAAGAUUUCUCUGGAGGAAAUGAUGCCAGACAUCCUGGGAACUAAAAGGCCAGCACUACCUCAAACAAACCUUACACUGCCAAAAGACCAAGAACCUGUCCACAGGGCAGAUGAAAAUAAAUGGUUCAUGCAGUUUUUGCAAAAAAAGAAAAAAUAUGCAUAUUAAUGAAAUCAAUCUUAUCAUAUGUAUAAUUAUUUGUAUAUGUAUAAUAAAAAGUAAAACAUA